rnacentral:rRNA from 1 species
UACGUAGGUGGCAAGCGUUGUCCGGAAUUAUUGGGCGUAAAGCGCGCGUAGGCGGUUACUCAAGUCGGAUGUGAAAGCCCUCGGCUUAACUGAGGAAGUGCACCCGAAACUGAGUAGCUAGAGUACUAAAGAGGGUCGCGGAAUUCCCGGUGUAGAGGUGAAAUUCGUAGAUAUCGGGAGGAACACCGGUGGCGAAGGCGGCAUCCUGGACCGACACUGACACUGAGGAGCGAAAGCCAGGGGAGCAAACGGG